UCCCUGCGUCUGCUUCGUGUUUCUUUUUCUCUCUCAUCAAUAACACAAACCCUCAUCGUUCAAAUGCAAAAUCAAAGGUCAAGGCUUGUGAAUCUCACAACAAGGCAAGAAGAAAACGUGAUCUACGGACAAAGGGCUGCCCAUCUAUCCGAACAAAAUUUCAAUCGGUCAAAUUUCGAGAUUUCAAUAUUUUGGGGGUUUUAGUCCUUGAGGUUUCGAGAUGGAUCUGAAGGCUUAAGAAUCAUGGAUAUGUUCUAGUUCUUUUUUU